CCCUGGAAUGAAUGAUCCAAGAGAAUGUGUGCUACCAAGAUGGAAGCCAUGGUGUCUUUUCUAAUACAAUCUUGGAAGUGAUAUGCCAUAACUUUUUCAUAUUCUAUUGGUCACACAGACUAACCCUGGUACAAUGUGGGAGGGGAACACAAAAGUUGUAAACACCAGCAGAUAUGGAGCAUUGGAACCAGCCAUUGGAAGCUGGUUACAAGUGGCCAGAGGAGUGUCUGGCACACAAUUAUUCAUUAGUAGCUGCUGUUAGUUUCCCAAUGCUCACAGACUGCGUGGGACAACAAGACUUGAACAUGAACAGAUGAAAGAGCUUGGCAAAGUAGACUUGAAUUGGGUGAUGCUCAAUUAUGUGGUAGAAGAGGGUGUGCUGGACAAGGGUGGAAACCAGGGCAGGAUCCCUAGCAGAGGUGAAAAGGACAGGAGAGGCCAAUCCAGAGAGGAGACAGAGUUAAGUAUGGCAAGAACUACUGGUUGCCUUCAUAUAGCCAAUUCCCUUUCCUUGUUUUAGUAGCAAGGUACCUAGUCACAGGGAUAAUCCAAACCAUUCAUGGAAAUGCCUUCCUCUUCACCAGUGAGUAGUCUAAGAGUAGACAUGUGGCUUCAUUUUGGUCAAUAAGAUGUAAGGGGAUGAUCCGCUUGGAAAAAUCUCCUCCUGGAUGACACAGGCAUGAGAGAAGAAGAGCUUUUAUGCUCCCAUUCCCUUUCUUCCUGCUUGGGAGGACAUGGUGCUUGGUGCCAUAUCAGCCAUUUUGUGAUCACAGAGGAGUCCCUCUCAGAGCUUAGAAUUGGAAAAGCCUUGACCAUUAAACAUGGUUGAGUCACCAGACAAACCUGGACCUACCUUCCCCCCCUCUCCUUGUUAAGGAAACAAAAGGUUUAAGCCUCUAAAUCAGGUAUUCUCUUACUUGCAUUCUAAGUGAUUCAGUGAGCAAAGUAUUCCAAUUCCCUCUCGAGUUAUUUCCUUUUCCCAAGGCAGAUAGAGUGGAAAUGUAAAUGGGAAAGAGACUUGGCCUUGGAGGCAGGCGGCCUUGGUCUAACCCUAGCUCUGCCUCUGAGUUGCCCUGUGAUCUUGAGCAAGUCCCUGCCCCUCUGGACCUCCAAUAAUUAUAGCUAAUAUUUAUUGACUGCUUACUCUGUGCCAAGCACUCUGCUAAGAGCUUCCCUUGCAUUAUCUCAUUCAAUGCUCACAUCAACUAUAGUGUGUCAAUAUUAUUAUUCUCUCUAUUUUAUGGAUAAGGAGACUGAGAUCCAGACAUAUUAUGUAAUUUACCCAAGGUUACACAUGAAAUUAGUGCUGGAUCUCUGGAUUCUGAAUUCAGGCUCAUCUCUCUCUAAAACCCAGGCUCCUGACCAUGAUGCUCUACCACCCAGCGGUAAAAGGAAGUCUCUGGACAAAAUGACCUCUAAGGGCCUUUCCAGCUCAGAUAUUCUUUGAUUUGCUGUCCCAUUUCUAGCUACAUGAUGAACAAACCAGCUUAUCCUAGAGAAGAAAGAAAUAAAGACUGUCUUUAGCCAUAUGAAAAGCUGUCAUGUGAGUGGGAGAUUAGACUUUCUCAGUGUAGCUCAGAGGACGUGAACUGGACCAAUGUGGGGACACUACAGGAAGAGAGUGCAGCUUACAUAAGAGAGAACUUUCUAUCUGCCAUUCAGCAGGGAGUAGAGGUAUGCACACAGAUAAUGACUCCCCUGUCAUGAAACUUAUGCAAGUAUAUGUUUGAUAAACUUUUGACAGAAGUACUCCAUUGAGUAGGUAUGGGAAUAAAUGGCUUAAACCUUAUAGUAGAAAUUAAAUGGGAAAAUAUACUAGAAUACUUUCAGCACCAUAACUGAUACAAAUAGUGGGAGUCGAUAAACUGGGGUUUCUUUUCCCUUUUGACACUGAGAUUCUUGGAUUUUAAUAUUCCCUGAUAUGGACUUUUGGUUCUUUGGCUCUAGUAUUCUAUAGUAUUUCUAUAACUUCAACACACUGUGUUCUGCCCUGCUAAGUUGGUACGGUUUUAAUAUUCCAACUAUCCAUGGUCAUGUGGCUCUAGAAGCUGAGCAGUCUAUGAUUUUGUACCUUAAUAGUCUCUAGUUUUAACAGUCCAAGAUUCAAUAAAGUGUCUCUCAGAAGCUCCAGAAAUAUGAAGGAGUUGUUCCAAAUGCUGUACUUCAGUGACCCGGACAUACAUUGGGCUACUCCCUGUGUCCAUCUUAUCACUCCACCACUAUCCCCCCACCCUAGCCUCGGGCUCUUCAUUCCAACCAACCCUCCUCCUUGAUCUCUAUACCAUCCUCACUCUGCUAUCUCCCCAAACACUGAGGAAGUACAUUCACUCUCUAUCUGCUGGAAAUUAUACAUUGAACAAGGAUCUGCUCUGUGCCAAGACUUGUGCUUACUCUAAAGGGGAUAUAAGGGAAGGAGAAGGCAUGGUCAUGACUCUCAGGAGGCCUAAGAUUUAGAGACCCAAGUCUCUUGAUUUCCUUUAAGUUCAGCUCAAGCUCACCUCUACCAGCAAAUUUUCCUUUAUUAACACAAAAUAUCUAGCACCAAAAACCUCAAUCAGAAGUGUGAAGAUCUAAGUUCUUUGGUAGGUUAUUGUGCACAUUUUAAUGUCUCUGCCCAUCGUCUCCCUGAUUAUAACUGAGGUUUCCCUCUAAAUCAAGAACAUGUCUCCUCAGCUGAACUGAGAUUUUCCAGAGGAAGACCAGGUCUUCCUCAUAAGACUGGAGGCUCCAUGUAGACAUGGUCCAUGCCUCCCUUAUAUCAUACUUGAGUUAGAGUUAAAGACACAGUGAUGUUUCUCCACCACUUUAACAAAUUCUCAAAGGUAGUUCAUAACUAUCAUUGGACUGAGGAUUUUAUAAAAGCAUAACUCACAUCUCCCUUUAAUAUGGGAAAGUCCUCAAGGCCAAGAAAGGGCUUCCACCCUCAUACUGGGGUCCAUCUCCCUGACAGCAAAGGGUCUAGGGCUCUUCCCUCUCUUCCUAUUUCUUCAAUCCCAGCCGAGGACUCUAGCCAUAAGAGAUAUUUUUCCUAAAGAUGAUAAACAAAUAAAUGGAAAAGGGAAGAUUCAGAAGACAGAAUAGGAACUCAAGCCUGUCCCCAGCAGGUCCAGACCUUUUCUUACUCUAUCCUGGUCCAUCUUCUAAAAGCUGCUGUCCCUCUGCCUCUCCUAGCAACUCAGAGCAGUAAGUGAAGAUGUCAGCACCUUGGACAGCGCCCAACCCAUUACAGUUCUCAGAGCCAGCGGAAGCCAAGCUCUCCAACUCCCUUAGCCUCUGGGUGAUGGAUUUCCUCGUUUCUCAAUUUGAUUAAAGCCCAGUAGAUAAGCAGAGCGCAUUGUUCCUUUCUCUUCUCUCUUCCUGAUGAACAUAAUUAACUCCGUCAGGCUGGGAAUACUUGCUCUUAAAUAGUGCCUUUCCAGCCCCCACCCAGGCAUGCGUCAAUAAUACACAGUCAAAACAUUUGGAAGAUACACGUUCUUUCCUGGGGAAUGGAAGUGGGAGAGGAAGCUCUUCCUGAGAUAUACAGGGGCUGUGACUGGAGACUGAAAAAUUGUGGUUGGGUAAAGAAAACCUUGAGCCAAAAGUCAGGAAAUCUUAAGUUUGUUCUGGCCUUGCCACUAAUCUAGAUAGGAUCUAGAACAAGUCACAUGCUCUUUAUGAGCCUGUUUUUUCCAUUUAUAAGAUGAGGAUAUUGGAUGAGAAGAUCUCAAAUGCUAUGUUCAGUGCUUAGAUUCUAUGGGGAGGAUUAAAACAGAGGGAAAGAGGCUUGCCUAAGGUCACAAAGCAAGCUCGUGGCAAAGCUGGUUUUGAAUUCAUGACUCCUGGCUUCUACUUCAGUGCUAUUCCCUUUACACAGAACUUCCCCCUUCCUCCAUAUUACAUAAUUUCUUGCCUGGGGAUGUGGCUGAGGCAGCUGAAGAGGGGUGGGAUUGAGAUUACUGGUGCCAACAAAAGAAAAUAAAAUUUAAGUACUCAUCAUCAUCUGCUUUAACUGCUCCCAAAGAAUGAGCACCUGUAUUUUACUCAGUUUUGAAUCACUCAGAAUGCUCAACACAGAUUUAAAAUAUAAUAGAACCCCAGUAAGUACUGGAUGGAUGGACAGAUGGAUGAUGAAUAUAGAUGUAUGAGUGACUGGGAGAGGGAGUAGAUGAAGAGAUGGAUGUGUGGAUGGAUAGGAGGUUUAUAUUGGUAGAUGGUGAAUGGAUGGAUGAACAGUUAAGUAGAUGAUCAGACAGGUGGAUAGAAAUGUAUAAAUGGGUAAAUGAGUUGGUUUGUAGGUAGGUGGAUGGACAGGUGAAUGAGUGCAUGAAUGAAUCUAUGGGCAGCUGAGUAGAACAGUAUGUAGGCAGAGAGUGAGGUUGGUGAAUGGAUGGAUGAAUAUAUAGAUAGUAGUGUGGGUGAAUGGGUAGAUGGAUAAUUGCAUGAUUGUAUGAGAAAUGUCAGGGUGGAUGUUAAGAAUUAUGGGGAAGAAACAUGGAGAUGUUCCUAAUUAUCACAAAGAUCAUUUUCAUGGAGACUUUCCAUUGCUAAUGUCAGAAAAAAAAAUGAUGAUGGGGAUUUGCUGACUCUGUGUGUAAGCUGAGUCAAAAGUGUGCUAUCCAGCCUCAAAAGAUUUCCAUCAAUUUCAGGCUCUAUCAAUGGAAAUCUAAUAUCAACAUCAGAAAAGGUGACAGUCCUGCCCUGACCUGUUCACACUGUCCUGAAGUCUUUGUUCUGCUCUGUGCAUCUGGGGAGAUGAUGAUCUCCAUGCCUUGUCCACAGAAGAGAUACAGUGGGGAGUAAUAUGUAAAGUCUACCAAAUAAAGAACUAGUGAAAGAGC